UACGUAGGGUGCGAGCGUUAAUCGGAAUUACUGGGCGUAAAGCGUGCGCAGGCGGUGAUGUAAGACAGGUGUGAAAUCCCCGGGCUUAACCUGGGAACUGCAUUUGUGACUGCAUCGCUGGAGUACGGCAGAGGGGGAUGGAAUUCCGCGUGUAGCAGUGAAAUGCGUAGAUAUGCGGAGGAACACCGGUGGCGAAGGCAAUCCCCUGGGCCUGUACUGACGCUCAUGCACGAAAGCGUGGGGAGCAAACAGG
rnacentral:rRNA from 1 species